rnacentral:rRNA from 1 species
GACGAACGCUGGCGGCGUGCCUAAUACAUGCAAGUUGAGCGAUGAAGAUUGGUGCUUGCACCAAUUUGAAGAGCAGCGAACGGGUGAGUAACGCGUGGGGAAUCUGCCUUUGAGCGGGGGACAACAUUUGGAAACGAAUGCUAAUACCGCAUAAUAACUUUAAACAUAAGUUUUAAGUUUGGAAGAUGCAAUUGCAUCACUCAAAGAUGAUCCCGCGUUGUAUUAGCUAGUUGGUGAGGUAAAGGCUCACCAAGGCGAUGAUACAUAGCCGACCUGAGAGGGUGAUCGGCCACAUUGGGACUGAGACACGGCCCAAACUCCUACGGGAGGCAGCAGUAGGGAAUCUUCGGCAAUGGACGAAAGUCUGACCGAGCAACGCCGCGUGAGUGAAGAAGGUUUUCGGAUCGUAAAACUCUGUUGGUAGAGAAGAACGUUGGUGAGAGUGGAAAGCUCAUCAAGUGACGGUAACUACCCAGAAAGGGACGGCUAACUACGUG